UACAUGGGGUGCAAACGUUGCUCGGAAUUAUUGGGCGUAAAGCGCGCGUAGGCGGUUAUCUAAGUCGGAUGUGAAAGCCCUCGGCUUAACUGAGGAAGUGCACCCGAAACUGGAUAGCUAGAGUACGAAAGAGGGUCGCGGAAUUCCCGGUGUAGAGGUGAAAUUCGUAGAUAUCGGGAGGAACACCGGUGGCGAAGGCGGCGACCUGGGUCGAGACUGACGCUGAGGCGCGAAAAGCGUGGGGAGCAAACAGG
rnacentral:rRNA from 1 species